GAGGGCUUACAGCUGACCCUUCGGUGAAGGAGAAAAAUGAUUUCCUGUUUAGUUCAUUCACUGAAUGAUUCAGUGGUGAGAAUCAGGCUGCAUCACUGGAACUGCACUUCAUGUUGACAUAAGAAAUUUGCAGAAUUUGGAAAAUGGAGCAGACUGCAUCCUAUGAAAAUCUUGCAAGGUUUGCAUUAUUGUUGAACUUUCACCUUUGCUUUAUUGAUUAGUUUUGUUUCUAAACUUUAUUUAUUUUAUUUUUAUUUACUUAUUUAUUUUGAGACAGAA
rnacentral:lncRNA from 13 species